AUUGAACGCUGGCGGCAGGCCUAACACAUGCAAGUCGAGCGGCGCUGAGGUCGGGUGAGUAAUGCCUAGGGAUCUGCCUGGUAGUGGGGGCUAACGUCCGGAAACAGGCGCUAAUACCGCUUCCUAUCAGUUGAGCCUCGGUGGGAUUAGCUAGUUGGUGGGGUAAAGGCCUACCAAGGCGACGAUCCGCAACUGGUCUGAGAGGAGGAUCAGUCACACUGGAACGGAGACACGGUCCAGACUCCUACGGGAGGCAGCAGUGGGGAAUAUUGGACAAGGGGCGAAAGCCGGAUGCAGACAGGCCGCGUGUGUGAAGAAGGUCUUCGGAUUGUAAAGCACGUUAAGUUGGGAGGCGUUACCAAAAGAAUAAGCACCGGCUAACUUCGUGCCAGCAGCCGCGGUAAUUC
rnacentral:rRNA from 1 species